GAUGAACGCUAGCGGCAGGCCUUACACAUGCAAGUCGAACGGCAGCGCGGGGCAACCUGGCGGCGAGUGGCGAACGGGUGAGUAAUAUAUCGGAACGUACCCAGAAGUGGGGAUAACGUAGCGAAAGUUACGCUAAUACCGCAUACGAUCUACGGAUGAAAGUGGGGGACCUUCGGGCCUCAUGCUUUUGGAGCGGCCGAUAUCUGAUUAGCUAGUUGGUGAGGUAAAGGCUCACCAAGGCGACGAUCAGUAGCUGGUCUGAGAGGACGACCAGCCACACUGGGACUGAGACACGGCCCAGACUCCUACGGGAGGCAGCAGUGGGGAAUUUUGGACAAUGGGGGCGAACCCUGAUCCAGCAAUGCCGCGUGAGUGAAGAAGGCCUUCGGGUUGUUAAAGACUCUUUUGUUCAGGGAAGAAACGGU
rnacentral:rRNA from 1 species